rnacentral:lncRNA from 1 species
GUUGAUUUUUCUUGUGAAUGUUUUCAUUGAUUUUUUUAAUCUCUGCAGGAGAAUGCCUACUUUUAUGUUGCUGAUAUGAUUAUAUCAGCUAUGGAGAAAAUGAAGUAUGACAUCGUGAGUCAACAGCAGGCGGAGAGCUGGAGCAUAAAAGAAGCCAGUGGGUCCCUUGGGAGUGACCAAGUUGACUCCGAAAUGACCAUUUAUACCAACCCAAAGCAAGAAUCUGGGUCUUCCACUUCCUCUGACAGUGGCUAUGAAGGUUGUGCUGUGUUACAGGUCAGCCCCAAGGUCGAAACACCUUCUCACUCUAAUGUGGUGCAAGAGGCCUGCAGAUGCAGCCUUGAUGAGUUUGUUAUUGUAGAAGUUGGAGAGUUUAAUGAUAUUAGAGAAACUUGUAGCUGUUCCUACAGGUCCUGUAAGAGUGUUUCUCAUGAGGCAGACUUCAAUUCUCCUGAGUUGUUAGCCAAAGAGUUGUACCAAGUAUUCCAGAAGUGCUGGGUAUCGUCAGCAGUUAAGUAUCAGCUGGCAGAUUCCCUGAAUGCAAGUGAUUCAGGAGUUGCAAAUGAAGAAAAUGUCCGAAAAGACUUUGAAUCCAGUAUGGAUAUAGUACAGGACAUUCAACUUAAGUCUAGAGUCAGAGGAACUGAAGACUGGGCUCCCCCUAGAUUUCAGAUCAUACUUGAUCUUCAUCCUCCACUCAAGAGGGAGCUGGUGGUAGUGGCCCAGAAUUUCCUCUGUGCUGGCUGUGGAACUCCAAUAGAGCCUAGUAAGUAUGGAUAAUGGAUUGCUUGUCUGUUACGUGAUGAUAGAGUAACUACAAAGUUACGUGACCGACCAGGAACCA